UCUACUGUGGCAGAAACAAUGCAAUGAACUUAAAAUUCAUUUAUAAAUAAAAAUAUUUCUUUAGAA
rnacentral:tRNA from 1 species